rnacentral:tRNA from 1 species
UGGCUCAGUGGUAGAGUGCUUGCCUUGCAUGCAUGAGACCUUGGGUUCGAUUCCUCA